rnacentral:rRNA from 1 species
UACGGGAGGCAGCAGUGGGGAAUAUUGCACAAUGGGCGCAAGCCUGAUGCAGCCAUGCCGCGUGUAUGAAGAAGGGCCUUCGGGUUGUAAAGUACUUUCAGUCGUGAGGAAGGUGUUAAGGUUAAUAACCUUAGCAAUUGACGUUAGCGACAGAAGAAGCACCGGCUAACUCCGUGCCAGCAGCCGCGGUAAUACGGAGGGUGCGAGCGUUAAUCGGAAUUACUGGGCUAAAGGGCACGCAGGCGGUUAAUUAAGUUGGAUGUGAAUCCCCGGGCUUAACCUGGGAAUGGCAUUCAAGACUGGUUAGCUAGAGUCUUGUAGAGGGGGUAGAAUUCCAUGUGUAGCGGUGAAAUGCGUAGAGAUGUGGAGGAAUACCGGUGGCGAAGGCGGCCCCUGGGACAAAGACUGACGCUCAUGUGCGAAAGCGUGGGGAGCAAACAGGGAUUAGAUACC